GCCCUUCCUACGGGAGGCAGCAGUAGGGAAUCUUCCGCAAUGGACGAAAGUCUGACGGAGCAACGCCGCGUGAGUGAAGAAGGUUUUCGGAUCGUAAAACUCUGUUGUUAGAGAAGAACAAGGAUGAGAGUAACUGCUCGUCCCUUGACGGUAUCUAACCAGAAAGCCAUGGCUAACUACGUGCCAGCAGCCGCGGUAAUAAGGGC
rnacentral:rRNA from 1 species